GACGAACGCUGGCGGCGUGCUUAACACAUGCAAGUCGAACGGAAAGGCCCCUUUGGGGGUACUCGAGUGGCGAACGGGUGAGUAACACGUGAGUAACCUGCCCUUGACUUCGGGAUAACUUCAGGAAACUGGGGCUAAUACCGGAUAGGAAUCCUUGCUGCAUGGUGGGGGUUGGAAAGCUUCGGCGGUUUUGGAUGGACUCGCGGCUUAUCAGCUUGUUGGUGGGGUAGUGGCUUACCAAGGCUUUGACGGGUAGCCGGCCUGAGAGGGCGACCGGCCACAUUGGGACUGAGACACGGCCCAGACUCCUACGGGAGGCAGCAGUGGGGAAGAUUGCACAAUGGGCGGAAGCCUGAUGCAGCAACGCCGCGUGCGGGAUGACGGCCUUCGGGUUGUAAACCGCUUUCAGCAGGGGCGAAGCUUGUGGUGACGGUACCUGCAGAAGAAGCACCGGCUAACUACGUG
rnacentral:rRNA from 1 species